GGCGAUAUAGCUUAAUGAGGUAGAGCGCAUGACUUUUAAUCAUGGAUGCAGGUUCAAUUCCUGCUAUUGCCA
rnacentral:tRNA from 1 species